GGGCUGGUAGCUCAGGUGGUUAGAGCGCACGCCUGAUAAGCGUGAGGUCGGAGGUUCGAGUCCUCCUCAGCCCACCA
rnacentral:tRNA from 6 species